UGCGUAGGUUGAUAGGUAAGUCAGUGGUGAAAUACUCCGACUCAAUCGGAGAACUGCCGUUGAUACUAUCUAUCUUGAAUACGGUGGAGGCGGGCGGGAAUGCGUCAUGUAGUGGUGAAAUACUUAGAUAUGACGCAGAACACCUAUUGCGAAGGCAGCUCGCUACACCGGCAUUGACACUGAGGCACGAAAGCGUGGGGAUCAAACA
rnacentral:rRNA from 1 species